UGUUGAACUGAUUAUAUUGAGUGUUAACUUACAAGUAAGUAUGAUGUUGUUUCCUCAAUAAUUCUGGAGGACACGAAUUAUUUAAGUAAAUAUUGACAUUUGAUACGAUACCAGGACAAAAGAAGUUGUUUUUGUAAUAACAAAAUCAAUAGCAAGGACGCAGAAAUUGGGGGUCAGCGGGCAAGAUUUUAAUAAUAUUGUGAGAAGCAUAAUAUUUUGUAUUAAAAAACCGGUAGUAAAAUCUGUUUUUCAUGGAUAUGGUGGAUGCUAACUAAUUUUUGGAUCGUGCUAGGUAUUUCAUCAUCUGCGUUUUUAUGGAAACGUCGGGGUCAUCUGAAGGAAAGAAUGUAGUACAUAAGACAUCCGCACUGGGUAAAUUCCAAUGCAUUUAUAAAUAGAUAUAAAUCCUUUUAUAGUUCUUAUGUGGUGACAGUUUGCGUUACCGCAUAUAUUAGGUGUCCCAACAAUAAACUCAUCCAGUUUUUGGCAUUGGUUAAUCGACUGAAACGUUCUAAAAUUCAGAUGUGUAAAAAAUGUAUUGGGUGAUCCUCUUGAAAAAAAAAAUAUAUAUUUUCACUAACACCUAGCAGUAAUGUUGGGAAUUAUAUACAAGUGCAGAAAAAGUCCCAAUCUUUUACUUUGUUUUUAUUUUGGUUUUAGAUAAUAACAUUGUCAUACUUAAUACACUGUGUUCGUUACAUAUUCAUUAUAGAUGAUUUUUGUACCACGUACCAUAUGAUCGAAAAAAAAGUCAUCUAGUCAACCAUGGAAUUAAUUUAAAAAAGUUGUGUUAGCAAAAUCUGUCACAGGAGUAGGAGUAGGAGUAAGACCAUUCACUAUUUUCUUACUUGACUUCAUUUCGUUAAUAGGUUGGUAAUUUUGAAUAACAAAAAUUUCGAGUUCUGUUUUAAGCAUUUUUUUAAUACAGGGUAAAUACAAAUGUCAAAGUGACAGGUAACUUCAAUGAAAAAUAACAGUGGUGCCUUAACAGUUAAAAAAAUAAUUCCAUGGCUGACUAGACAUCUUUUUUGAUCAUAUGGUAUGAUGAUAACAGCAUGAAAUAAAUACAUAUUAUCACAUUGCGGUAUAGUAAGUACUUUAAAAAAGUCAACUUAUAUUUGUUAGUGUUGAGUUAGGUAUUUAUUAAAACUAAAUUUAAAUAAUGCCCAAAGUGAGCAAAUCAGAAAUAUAAUUGUAAUUUGUUAUUUUGCAACAUUUCCGGCUAAACCGAAAGUGUGAAAAAGUUGAAAAUGUAAGUAAAUUUCUUAUUUGUUCUACGAAGAGAACUGACCGUUUGGGACUUUUUGUACACUCUGUAUAUAUCGAAUGUAAACGAACAAUAAAUAUUAAAAAUGG